GUAGGGGGCAAGCGUUGUCCGGAUUUAUUGGGCGUAAAGAGCGUGUAGGCGGCCAGAUAGGUCCGUUGUGAAAACUCGAGGCUCAACCUCGAGACGCCGAUGGAAACCAUCUGGCUAGAGUCCGGAAGAGGAGAGUGGAAUUCCCGGUGUAGCGGUGAAAUGCGCAGAUAUCGGGAAGAACACCCGUGGCUAAGGCGGCUCUCUAGUACGGUACUGACGCUGAGACGCGAAAGCGUGGGGAGCGAACAGGAUUAGAUACCCUGGUAGUCCACGCCGUAAACGAUGGGUGCUAGGUGUGGGGGGUGUCGACUCCCUCCGUGCCGAAGCUAACGCAUUAAGCACCCCGCCUGGGGAGUACGGCCGCAAGGCUAAA
rnacentral:rRNA from 1 species